rnacentral:rRNA from 2 species
UACGUAGGCAGCAAGCGUUGUUCGGAAUUACUGGGCGUAAAGAGUGUGUAGGCGGUGUUCUAAGUCUGUUGUGAAAUCUCCCGGCUUAACUGGGAGGGUGCGGCGGAAACUGGAAUGCUAGAGGAUGGGAGAGGUAAGCGGAAUUCCUGGUGUAGCGGUGAAAUGCGUAGAUAUCAGGAGGAACACCUGUGGUGUAGACAGCUUACUGGACCAUUUCUGACGCUGAGACACGAAAGCGUGGGUAGCAAACAGG